rfam:Ovis aries breed Texel chromosome 5, whole genome shotgun sequence.
UCCCCGGUGGCUCAGAUGGUAAAGCGUCUGCUUGCUGUGCAGGAGACCCGGGUUCGAUCCCUGGGUUGGGAA